UUAAUUAAAUUGAAGCCUUGUUGGUUAAAUGUCAGUUGGUAAAGAGAAAGUCAAUCUUCAGUUCUGGAAGUAAAAUUUUUCUCCAAGUUAACAAACUUUCCUCCUAAUGUCUUAUUGAUUGACAAACCGUCUCUUGAUCAAUAUUCAAUAUUUCAAUGUCUCAUUUAAUUAUCCAGUCAAGCUGUGGUUUAAAGUAUCAAGUUGAAAAUCUCAAAGGAUAGGAGCCAUUAAGAAUUACUUAUACGUUCAAUAUUCAGGGUAAAACUUGGAAGACAGAGAAAGGUGUCUUAACUUGUAACCAAAGCUGAGGUGAGAUUAAGUAAAGAAAUUAAAAAUACAUUGCAACGACCAUGUCUCUAAAGACGAACACAAUUUCAAAGAGAUUAUCUAACAAAUUGGAAUACAAAAUAAAUAAAAUACAAUCAAGAUAAACAUAAUAGAUGGUAAACAAUUGAUUUAAUUUCAAAAUAAAAAACCGUUUUUAUUGAAAAAUGAAAAGCAUUCAAUUUACUGCCAUCUAACGAUUUUUAUAAAAACACUUAAUGCUGAGAAUCUCAACUUGCUAAGAAAACGAUUUUCUUUCAUGAUUGACUGAGCAUUUAUGAACGCUUCUGAACCAUCCUUAUCCUUUUUAUCCUUAUUUAACGUUAAUUGUGUCUGUAUAUGUUCAAGAUCAUUAACUAAAUUACAACUUUAUCAGCAAUUCAUUUAAUUGAAAGAGAUCAAUCGCUAUAUUUACUGUUCAACGCCUCCACUUAGUGACUUUAUAAUGUAACCUUUCCUACUUUCUGUUAAUUAUUACAUUGUUUACCAUUUAAAUUUAUAUCAAGAAAUGAUCAUUUUACAAUUUAACCAUUGCUUACAAUCUCACCUUAACCUGUUCGCAAUAUCUCAUCAAAAUGUGAUUGAAAAUUGAACUUUUUUUCAAAUACAAAGCGUACAAUACAUGUUUUUACAAUUGUUUGUAUCUUUAUGUAUUUUACAGUCUGUCAAUCUGUUCAUUUGUUAUUAUCUUUAUUUUGCUUUUAUAUUUUUUUCCUCAUCCCAGUCAAUCCCUCCUAUCAUUGUGAUCAUCUAUCUGUUACAUAUUUUUCAUCGUAAAAGAUUUUUCAUCUUUUUGCUUCCAUCAAUACUUUUUAUCUUCAUUCUAUCUGUUUCUUGUAUUCUGCUGGAUAAAUUCACCUUGUCACAACACCAAAGCUAAAUAAUUCCGUUUAUUUCCCUUUCAUUGAGAGCUGAAACCAAGGAAAAGAAGGAGAAGGAAAAGAAGAAAAUUUUACAAAAAUAUUUCAUAUAAUGGAUCUGAUAGCGUACAUAAUGAUGAUGCAGAAGCUGAUAGCUGGAUACAUAUGAAUAUUGGUUGUUGCUUAAUCUAAAGAAUAAAAAAACAUAUCAGAUUCUGGAUUCAAAAAAGGGAAAAUGCUGAGAAUGGAGAAAUUAAAUGAUGAAAAUAUAAAGAUAAACCUUUAAAAUUGUUAUCAUAUAUUUUGUUUUGUUGGUUUUCCAUCAUCUUUAUUGUAUUCCCUUUGCUCUUUCAUGUUGUACUUGUACAACAUGGUUAAAGCUCAAUACAAUAAUCAUGUUUGAAAUAUGAAAAAGCAAAAUAUAACAAACAAAGAAACCAAAAUAGAGGAUAAAAUACCUUGAAACACCAGCCUGAUGCCAUUGCCUGUUAUAUGCGUAUUUGUGUUCAAUUGAUUAUUUUCUUGUAUCAAAACAAUUUGGAGUGAGGCAAAGAAAAAACGAACCUUCAAUACAAAUAUUAAUAUUAUCAUUAUUAAUGGAUUGAUAAUAGUAAUGAUCAUCAUUCCAAUGAUUCUCAUUUUCACCAUUCAGACAGAUUCAUCGAUGGAUUUACAGCAAUAUAAGGUUAAGAUGAAUUGACAGGAAGCUAGGUAUUUCCUUGAUAUCAUAUGAAGAAAAUUUUCUCUCAACUUUUUCAUCAAACCAGAAAGUUCUUGAUUCUUCUUCAUAAGUCAAACCAUUUCAAAGGACACCUCAGGUGAACAACCAUUCAAAGUUGUCCAAAUGUUUAGUAAAUUAUCAUUUCUGUUUUGCAUGGAAAACCAUUCAUCUUGACUUAUCAUAUUCACUUGAAAUGCUGAUUUGACUUUCAUUCAACUUCUGAACUUUUCCUCAAACUUCAAGACAAUGAACUGAUUUGUAAUUUAAUGGAUAACCAUCAUUAUUUAAAUAUAUUAACAUGUACCUUUGCUUUAAUCA